GACACAUGGCAAGCUGCUCCUGUUUGCACAGCAACAUUGUGUACUGUGACCACUGUCUAGUUCAGAGGUAGGUAACCUUGGGCAGUCCAGAUGCUGUGAAUUACAUCUCCCAUAAUGCUGGCAAACCAUUAUGGGUGGUGUAGUCCAAAACAUCUGGGAUACCGAAUGCGUAUGAAUGAAACGUAUGGUGUGUGCGAAUGGAUAGUAACAAGGGUUGAAGCCUUGACAUGGCGUUACUGCUCACAUGUGUAUUCAUGUGCCAAUUCAACCAAUGUUAGUCACUGUAAUACUUAUAAGGUAACCAAAAGUACUGUGAUUGUGAAGAAUGAAACUCCUGUAUCACCUACACACUGUUUACACUGUGCCCGUAUCUCCUAUACACUGCUUACACUGUGACCGUAUCACCUAUACACUGCUCAUACUGUGACCCUAUCACCUAAACACUGCUUACACUGUAAGCACAGACAUGCUUUUAUUUAAAAUUGAAAGCGCUCGAUCAUUCUUUCUAUUCUAUGCCUCCAAUCUUCAACAUUGAAAUUGUAAUUUCUAAUAAUAUAAAAUAAGUAAUAUGCUUUCUGGUUACGAUUUGGUGGGUUGUAACUAUAUUUUUUAUUUUUACAGUUCCAGAGGGAAGGAGCAAACCGCUUUGAGGAGUCCCUGUAUAAGAGACUAUUGGAUACUGAAGGGCUGUACUGCAGUGUCGGCUCUAGACUUGGCGAGGCCUUAGGCGAAAUGCAUACAUGAGACGCCACGGAGAACACCAUUAUUGAAGAAAAA